UCCCAGCUGGCUCAGUGGGAAAGAAUCUGCCUGCCAAUGCAGGAGACACAGGUUCGAUCCCUGGGUUGGGAA
rnacentral:tRNA from 1 species